AUUGAACGCUGGCGGCAGGCUUAACACAUGCAAGUCGAGCGAGCGGCGGACGGGUGAGUAAUGUCUGGGAAACUGCCUGAUGGAGGGGGAUAACUACUGGAAACGGUAGCUAAUACCGCAUACCAUCAGAUGUGCCCAGAUGGGAUUAGCUUGUGGGUGGGGUAAUGGGUCACCUAGGCGACGAUCCCUAGCUGGUCUGAGAGGAUGACCAGGGAAACUGGAACUGAGACACGGUCCAGACGCCUACGGGAGGAAGCAGUGGGGAAUAGUGCACAAGGGGCGCAAGCCUGAUGGAGCCAUGGCGGGUGUGUGAAGAAGGGCGUCGGGUUGUAAAGCACUUUCAGCGAGGAGGCGGUACUCGGAGAAGAAGCACCGGCUAACUACGUGCCAGCAGCCGCGGUAAUAC
rnacentral:rRNA from 1 species